rnacentral:rRNA from 1 species
AUGGCCGAGUGGUCUAAGGCGCCAGACUCAAGUUCUGGUCCUCUUACGAGGGCGUGGGUUCAAACCCCACUUCUGACAUUCUUAUUUUUUAUUCCCUUUUUUUGGCUUUCUUACGAGGGCGUGGGUUCAAACCCCACUUCUGACAUUCUUAUUUUUUAUUCCCUUUUUUUGGCUUUAUAA